AUCUACUGCCAUGCUACCCUGAACAUGCCCAAUCCUGUCUGAUUUCGGAAGCUAAGCAGGGUCAGGCCUGGUUAGUACUUGGAUGGGAGACCACCUAGGAAUACCAGGUGCUGUGUUUA
rnacentral:rRNA from 1 species